CAACACCUCUCUCAAAAAGUGGUAAACACCACUAAGGUUCUCUCUCCGUCCCACUAUCCCCGUCUCCGUCUCACCAUCUUCUUCCUCGUCUCCGUCCCACCGUCUCUCCAUCCACCAUGCUGAAGUUGUCCCACCGUCUCUCUAUAACAUUGAAGUCGUCUCUUCGUCUUCAUCUUAUUCGUCUCACCGUCUCUCCAUCCACGAACAACGAAACUCUCUCACUUAUCACCAAACGAAGAAAACAACUUCUCUCUCAAGGUUGAGUGCUUUAUUGCUGAAACUAUGGCACCAUCAAAAAAUGAUUAUGAAACUGAAGUACGAAUGAGACAUAGCUGUAUCCUGGUGAAUUUGAGCAGCAUCAAUGAAAAGUUAACCGCAACUUAACGUGCUCACAUCGAAUGCACCCCAUUCAAAUGGGCGAUGGGUAUUUCUAACAGCUUAUCAAUCUCAGGUGGUUUAUUAUGGGAGUUAGUAAGUAGAUGGAACAUAUGUAGUAGGGGAUUUAGGGUUAGGGAUAUGAUAGUUUCCUUUACUCCAGUUGAUGUUUCUUUUGUUCUUGGAUUGUCUAUUAUUGGUAAGUCUCUAGUAGUAGAAGAAGAUCAAUAAUGUUCAAGAUGAUCGACAACUUGCGAACUUUAUCACUGAAGAUGAAGUAGGAACUUUUGCUGGAGAUGUUGGACAUAACACUCCACUUAAUGAUGAUGCCAAUGUUGCGGAAAACCAAUCAAAGUCUAAAUCCAACAUGGCUACAAGAAUGAUGAAGAAACCAAUGAAACAUGGAAAAAGAACUAGAAUAAAUUUGUAAAUCAUUAGUGUUGUAGUGUAGAAUUUGUGUAAUAUGUAUUGCAGAAUUUGUACCAAUUAUGACGCG